GAUGAACGCUGGCGGCGUGCUUAACACAUGCAAGUCGAACGAAGCAUUUAGAACAGAUUACUUCGGUUUGAAGUUCUUUAUGACUGAGUGGCGGACGGGUGAGUAACGCGUGGGUAACCUGCCUUGUACUGGGGGAUAGCAGCUGGAAACGGCUGGUAAUACCGCAUAAGCGCACAAUGUUGCAUGACAUGGUGUGAAAAACUCCGGUGGUAUAGGAUGGACCCGCGUCUGAUUAGCUAGUUGGUGAGAUAACAGCCCACCAAGGCGACGAUCAGUAGCCGACCUGAGAGGGUGACCGGCCACAUUGGGACUGAGACACGGCCCAGACUCCUGCGGGAGGCAGCAGUGGGGAAUAUUGCACAAUGGAGGAAACUCUGAUGCAGCGACGUCGCGUGAGUGAAGAAGUAAUUCGUUAUGUAAAGCUCUAUCAGCAGGGAAGAUAGUGACGGUACCUGACUAAGAAGCUCCGGCUAAAUACGUG
rnacentral:rRNA from 1 species